rnacentral:rRNA from 1 species
GUAUUUUAUUUUACGUUACGUCUAGCCUGCUCACUGAUAGAAAUUAUUAAAUAGCCGCGGUAUUUUGACCGUGCAAAGGUAGCAUAAUCAUUAGUUUUUUAAUUGAAAACUUGUAUGAAUGGUUGGACAAAGAAGAGACUGUCUCUUGUGUUAUAAUUGAAUUUAACUUUUAAGUGAAAAGGCUUAAAUAUUCUAGAGGGACGAUAAGACCCUAUAAAGCUUUAUAAAUUUGAAGAUUUUGUGUAUUUUUAUAUAAAAAUGAAUUUUGAAGAUUUUAUUUGGUUGGGGCGACAAUGGUAUAAUGAGAAUAACUGCUAUUAAAAUUAACAAUUAUAUUUGAAUUAUUAAUAAUUGAUCCUUUAUAAGGAUUUUAAGAUCAAGUUACUUUAGGGAUAACAGCGUUAUUUUUCUUGAGAGUUCUUAUCAAAGGAAAAGUUUGCGACCUCGAUGUUGAAUUAAAAUGUCUAUAUAGUGCAGCAGCUAUAAAAGAAGGUCUGUUCGACCUUUAAUAUUUUACGUGAUCUGAGUUCAGACCCGGACAGGAAUUUUUUUUUUUUUUUUUCCUGAAUUUCC